GUUCUCGCCAUUUUCUGGAUCACUGUGACCUGUUCCUUGCUUUGGGUCGGCAUCCACUGAUGCCAGCAGUGGCAUCUCCAAGCCAAUGUGCUUUGCUGUUAGAAGGCCAAGGUUAGAAGUGCAGCCAGCGUGGCAUGACCAGGAAAUAAAUGCCAGUUUAUUAAAUAACGAGUAAGCCACCGUUUCAAGCCUGCCCUAUGGAGGAAAUGCCAGUUUAUUAAAUAACGAGUAAGCCACCGUUUCAAGCCUGCCCUGUGGAGGAAAUGCCAGUUUAUUAAAUAACGAGUAAGCCACCGUUUCAAGCCUGCCCUGUGGAGGAAAUGCCAGUUUAUUAAAUAACGAGUGCAGAUUGAUGAGUAUGAUCACUCCAAGCCCAUCCAGGGGCAACAGAAGAAGCCCUUUGAGGUGCACUGGAGGAAGCACACCCUGUCCUAUGUGGACGUCGGCACUGGGAAGGUCACUGUGGAAUAUAGACCCAUAAUUGACAAAACUUUGAACGAGGCUGACUGUGCCACUGUCCCCCCAGCCAUUCACUCCUACUGAUGAGACAAGAUGUGGUGAUGACAGAAUCAGCUUUUUGCACAGCCAGAGGACAACACAUCACACACAAGAAACAGUUGUGCUCAUGUGAUGGGGGCCUCAGCACUAGGAAGGAGUGGACUGUUGGCGCACGCAGCAGCUUGAAUAAAUCUGAAAGUCACUACGCUGCGUAAGAGAAGCCAAAUAAAGCGCAUGCUGUGUACAGAGGGUGUCGAGAAUGCCUCCUACGUGACGGAAAGCAGAUCCGUGGUUCCCUGCAGACUGGCAGGAGCAGAUUCCAAAGGCACAGGAAGAAGCUUGCAGGUUGCCUGUUCACUCUGCCUGGUCAUAUGCAGAAAACCGAAACUAGACCCCUUGCUGACACUUAUACAAAAAUUAACUCAAGAUGCAUUAAAGAUUUAAACGUGAGACCU
rnacentral:lncRNA from 10 species